ACCCUUCAAAAAAGGCUUAUGGGUUAGGAUAGCAGAAAUCCGUUUUCCCCAUUGAUGCUUGUCUUGGCUGUCAGAAACAGAUGCAAAGCUAUCCAGAGGCCGUUACAGAGAACAUCUCCUACAGAGAAAAGACAUCGCCUAGAAUAUAAGUUAAAACUGCAUCUAAAGAAGUUCAUGGAGCAAAUUCACAGCUGAUUGACAUUGCUUUUCCUUUUAACAUGGUGAAGCGACCACAAGAUGGUGGCUUUGGAAUCCAGUGGGUUCAGUUCUAUUCAUCUGAGCACUACAUUAACUUGCAAGACAAGUUAUACGGGCGCUGCCAAGGUUCAAGAAGAGGACAGAGCCCUCAAAGCUAUGCCAGAACAGAUGAUCCUCCUUCAAUACACGGCUAACAUCCUUAUGUAGAAGACAAGUUUUAAUUUAAGAAAUCAUCUUUAAGUGAUGAUAAAUAUGAUACUGCAAAGAGA